rnacentral:rRNA from 1 species
GACGAACGCUGGCGGCGUGCUUAACACAUGCAAGUCGAACGGUAAGGCCCUUCGGGGUACACGAGUGGCGAACGGGUGAGUAACACGUGGGUGAUCUGCCCUGCACUUCGGGAUAAGCCUGGGAAACUGGGUCUAAUACCGGAGAGGACCACUGCCUGCAUGGGUGGUGGUGGAAAGCUUUUGCGGUGUGGGAUGGGCCCGCGGCCUAUCAGCGUGUUGGUGGGGUGAUGGCCUACCAAGGCGACGACGGGGAGCCGGCCUGAGAGGGUGACCGGCCAGACUGGGACUGAGCUACUGCCCAGGCUCCUACGUGAGGCAGCAGUGGGGAAUAUUGCACAAUGGGCGCAAGCCUGAUGCAGCGACGCCGCGUGAGGGAUGACGGCCUUCGGGUUGUAAACCUCUUUCAGCACCGACGAAGCGCGAGUGACGGUAGGUGCAGAAGAAGGACCGGCCAACUACGUGCCAGCAGCCGCAGUAA